rnacentral:rRNA from 1 species
UCGGGGUGAGCGGCGGACGGGUUAGUAACGCGUGGGAACGUACCCUUCUCUACGGAAUAGCCAUUGGAAACGAUGAGUAAUACCGUAUACGCCCUGAGGGGGAAAGAUUUAUUGCUAUUGGAUGAGCCCGCGUUAGAUUAGGUAGUUGGUGGGGUAAUGGCCUACCAAGCCUACGAUCUAUAGCUGGUCUGAGAGGAUGAUCAGCCACACUGGGACUGAGACACGGCCCAGACUCC